CAACAGCACUGGAAUCCGAGACUUCCUUCUGCACUGUAAGCCUGGGACUUAUUCUGAAAUCUGCUCUUUUGGAAAGAGGGAACGGACUCUUUCCUAUCGGAGCUAAGAUGUGGUGGCACUGAUCUGCUUUCUCCAUCACUCCAAAAUGACAGUAGUGGCUGAUUGGCCAGGUGACUGGUGAAGUCCUGAAGGGUGGCAAACUCAUUGAAGCCAAAAGAAUACCUGCCAAACUGCCGGCGCACAUGGAAGUGCUUCACUGAGUCCUUUGCCCUGGAGGAGAUAUCCAAG